GAUUAGAUACCCUGGUAGUCCACGCCGUAAACGAUGCUAACUCGUUUUUGGGUUUUCGGAUUCAGAGACUAAGCGAAAGUGAUAAGUUAGCCACCUGGGGAGUACGUUCGCAAGAAUGAAACUCAAAGGAAUUGACGGGGGCCCGCACAAGCGGUGGAUUAUGUGGUUUAAUUCGAUGAUACGCGAGGAACCUUACCAAGGCUUAAAUGGGAAUUGAUCGGUUUAGAAAUAGACCUUCCUUCGGGCAAUUUUCAAGGUGCUGCAUGGUUGUCGUCAGCUCGUGCCGUGAGGUGUUAGGUUAAGUCCUGCAACGAGCGCAACCCCUGUCACUAGUUGCUAGCAUUAAGUUGAGGACUCUAGUGAGACUGCCUACGCAAGUAGAGAGGAAGGUGGGGAUGACGUCAAAUCAUCACGGCCCUUACGCCUUGGGCCACACACGUAAUACAAUGGCCGGUACAGAGGGCAGCUACACAGCGAUGUGAUGCAAAUCUCGAAAGCCGGUCUCAGUUCGGAUUGGAGUCUGCAACUCGACUCUAUGAAGCUGGAAUCGCUAGUAAUCGCGCAUCAGCCAUGGCGCGGUGAAUACGUUCCCGGGCCUUGUACACACCGCCCG
rnacentral:rRNA from 1 species